GGCAAAAUAAAACCAUCUUCAGAGGUCGCACGGGUUAAAAAGAAAACAAAAUUAAUUUAAAGAUGAUUAAUUCUUCUUGAUGGCUGCCCAGUAUCGCUCCAGUUCGUUACCCUCCCAAUUGAAAGGUUUAGUCAAAACACUGAAAAUACAAAUUUUACAUAAUGCCUUCAGUAAUAGCGAGGAUCGUGAAAAUUAGCCAAAACAGAUAGGUGUGGAGGAAAAUGGUGGAAAAUCGCAGCAAAUACUCGAAAGGCCUGUGAAGCACGAAGCUCACCAGCAGGAGGGAGGGAAUGGGAACGAAAAACCAGUGGAGAGACCAACAAGUUCAACCACCAGCAGAGGGAAGUGGCCAGUAAUCGACGGACGGUGGAAGAGAGGCAAUCGUCUGGCGGUGCCUACUGCACCGAUGGCCAAGAUUGACAAUGAUCAUGCACACAUAGUUGUAUGGACUGGACCCCCAACCGCAGGGAAGUGGUAGUGAUGUAAUGAUACUGCAGCACUUCCUGCUCCUUAUCGCUUAAUCCCACCUCGGCGGCCUCCAAAUUG